GACGAACGCUGGCGGCGUGCUUAACACAUGCAAGUCGAACGGAAAGGCCCCUUUGGGGGUACUCGAGUGGCGAACGGGGGAGUAACACGUGAGUAACCUGCCCUUGACUUCGGGAUAACGUCAGGAAACUGGGGCUAAUACCGGAUAGGAAUCCUUGCUGCAUGGGGGGGGUUGGAAAGCUUCGGCGGUUUUGGAUGGACUCGCGGCGUAUCUGCUUGUUGGUGGGGUAGUGGCUUACCAAGGCUGUGACGGGUAGCCGGCCUGAGGGGGCGACCGGCCACAUUGGGACUGAGGUACGGCCCAGACACCUACGGGAGGCAGCAGUGGGGAAUAUUGCACGAUGGGCGGAAGCCUGAUGCAGCAACGCCGCGUGCGGGAUGACGGCCUUCGGGUUGUAAACCGAUUUCAGCAGGGGCGAAGCUUGUGGUGACGGUACCUGCAGAAGAAGCACCGGCUAACUACGUG
rnacentral:rRNA from 1 species